rnacentral:misc_RNA from 1 species
CUUCUGACAUUUUCAUGUAUUUUACUUUUAUUGCGUUACAUCAAAUUCUAUAGACCACGAAAGCCAAGAGAUAUCAAGAACAAAAACUGGUGUGUGUAGAGCAAAGCAGACGCUGAAACUAGGGUUUUCGACAGCGAGAUGACUAGUUUAAGGAGCACAGAGCAUGACAAAUAUGCUACGAUUAACUUUGAAGAGACUGAAUUGCGUCUAGGGUUACCUGGAGGCAAUGCAGUUGAAGGUGAGGUUGCUAAGGGUAAUGGGAAGAGAGGAUUCUCAGAGACUCUAGUGGAUUUGAAGCUUAAUCUUUCCACCAAAGAGUCAGCAGGGAAUGAUAUUGGGGAGGAGAAGAUGAAGGAGAAAGCUGAUGUUCUUCCUUCCUCUGCUGAUCCGACAAAGCCUCCAGCCAAGGCACAAGUCGUGGGUUGGCCACCAAUUCGAUCAUUCCGAAAGAAUGUCAUGUCUGUACAGAAAAACAGCAAUGAAGAUGGAGAAAAGGCGGCUGCCGGGGGUAGCAGCAGUGGCGUUGGUGUGGCAUUUGUGAAGGUGAGCAUGGAUGGAGCGCCAUACUUACGAAAAGUGGACUUGAAAUUGUACAAGAGCUACCAAGAACUCUCUGAUGCCUUAGGCAAAAUGUUCAGCUCCUUUACCAUUGGCAACUGUGGAUCGCAAGGAGUGAAAGAUUUCAUGAACGAGAGCAAAUUGAUAGACCUAUUGAAUGGUUCUGAGUACGUCCCAACUUAUGAAGACAAAGAUGGAGACUGGAUGCUUGUAGGAGAUGUGCCAUGGGAGUAAUUUCUUUUUCAAAUCUUACAUGUUGGAUUAAUUCUGAAAACAUUUGAUUAAACCACUAAUUUUCUUUCCUUCUCCCAGAAUGUUUGUCGAUUCAUGCAAACGAUUAAGGAUAAUGAAGGGGUCUGAGGCAAUAGGACUUGGUUAGUAUCAUCCAAAGAUCAAAUUUUCAUCAGUAGUAAUACAUAGCUUGUAUAACAAUAUGCUAAUAUGAUUUCAAUUAAUCGAUUUUUACAGCUCCAAGAGCUGUGGAGAAGUGCAAGAACAGGAGCUGAAGAGGAGUUUUGCUGUUGAUUCGAGAAAUGGAAUCCAUUGAAUGAACCUGUGAUCAAAAGGAAAAAGCAGACCGGCUCAAGAGGAAUUAAGCAAGGAGUUUGGAUGUCUGUGUACAUGGUUUUUUUCCUUUAUUUUUAUUUUCUCAUGACGUAUAUGAAUAUAUGAGGAACAUAUUCGGAGAUUUAUUAGGAAUAUCAAGUAAUAAUAUAUAGGAGAUGUUUAUAUAUAUAUAUAUGAUCAUAUGCAACCUUGCUCUUCUUUCUUUUUUAAUAUUGUCAAAUGGGUUGCUUAGUAACCACCGAUACCUUCUAUAUAUUUAAUCAAGCUGUGAUGAGUGUUUUUGUUCAUUUUGUAAUUUGAAAAUUUAUAUUUCGAAAAAUUAAAAAAAUUAUGUGAUUGGUUGAGAUGGUAAAUGAAUAAGGUCCAUCAACAAAGUGAUAAGGUGGACCAGACCCAUGUGGUUGCUGUUGGUGGCAUCCUCUUCAUAGACUAUGUUAAUUUUAUGUUGUCCUGUCCUGGCAACACACCAGCUCCAUUACAGGUUGCUUCAGACCAUUAAAUAUCUUUUUUCCCCCUUUCUCUAGCUGUCUUUUGUAAAUGAUUUGUUUAUUAAUUGAGUUUAUUUAUUUUUGUCAUUGAAAAAAAUUUAAUGAUUAAUUGAUGUUUUAGGUGAGAAAUGCAGGAAUUGUUUGGGCUCAUGCAUGUGUGUUAUAAGAUUUCCAACAUAAUGCUGGGGAUUUAUGCAAUUGUCUUCUCCUCUUUAAAAAGAUCCACAAUUUCUCUUCUUAAUCUCUAUGGUAUAAUACUAUGGAUUUGUAAGAUUUCUUUAUCUUCAAAGAUUCUUGAAACCAGUAACAUCACGAGUAUAAUCCUC